rnacentral:rRNA from 1 species
UACAGAGGUCUCAAGCGUUGUUCGGAUUCAUUGGGCGUAAAGGGUGCGUAGGUGGCGCUGUAAGUCGGGUGUGAAAUUUCGGAGCUUAACUCCGAAACUGCAUUCGAUACUGCGGUGCUUGAGGACUGGAGAGGAGACUGGAAUUCAUGGUGUAGCAGUGAAAUGCGCAGAUAUCAGGAGGAACACCGGUGGCGAAGGCGGGUCUCUGGGCCGAUACUGACGCUGAGGAGCGAAAGCCAGGGGAGCAAACGGG